ensembl:lncRNA
GGAGGGGCGGCAGGGUAGACUAGUGGUUAGAGUGGAGGGGCGGCAGGGUAGACUAGUGGUUAGAGUGGAGGGGCGGCAGGGUAGCCUAGUGGUUAGAGUGGAGGGGCGGCAGGGUAGCCUAGUGGUUAGAGUGGAGGGGCGGCAGGGUAGCCUAGUGGUUAGAGUGGAGGGGCGGCAGGUAGCCUAGUGGUUAGAGUGGAGGGGUGGCAGGGUAGACUAGUGGUUAGAGUGGAGGGGCGGCAGGGUAGCCUAGUGGUUAGAGUGGAGGGGUGGCAGGGUAGCCUAGUGGUUAGAGGGGAGGGGUGGCAGGGUAGCCUAGUGGUUAGAGGGGAGGGGCGGCAGGCUAGCCUAGUGGUUAGAGGGGAGGGGCGGCAGGGUAGCCUAGUGGUUAGAGGGGAGGGGCGGUAGCUAGCCUAGUGGUUAGAGGGGAGGGGCGGCAGGGUAGCCUAGUGGUUAGAGUGGAGGGGUGGCAGGGUAGCCUAGUGGUUAGAGUGGAGGGGCGGCAGGGUAGCCUAGUGGUUAGAGUGGAGGGGUGGCAGGGUAGCCUAGUGGUUAGAGUGAAGGGGCGGCAGGGUAGCCUAGUGGUUAGAGUGGAGGGGCGGCAGGGUAGUCUAGUGGUUAGAGUGGAGGGGCGGCAGGGUAGCCUAGUGGUUAGAGUGUUGGACUAGUGACCGGAAGGUUGCAAGUUCAAACCCCCGAGCUGACAAGGUACAAAUCUGUCGUUCUGCCCCUGAACAGGCAGUUAACCCACUGUUCCCAGGCCGUCAUUGAAAAUAAGAAUUUGUUCUUAACUGACUUGCCUCGUUAAAUAAAGGUUAAAUAAAAAUAA